CUCACUCCAAAGGCGUCAAAAACCGAAGCAUGGUCAAGCGCCCCUAGCGUCACUUUUGUGACGCCAAAUGUGCCUCUCGGCGUCGACUAUCGAAGCACUACGACCUUCAUUGCUUUCAGUGGGAAACUUUUGGCGUCAGAAUUCGACACGAGGACAUGAGAUGUUUAUCGCUAUGAAAUCACGUUCAAGAAGUCUCAUUCAGCACACAUCGCGCGAUACUUGCUAUCAUUUCCACAGUUUGGCUGAAAAGACGUAAAGGCAGUCAGCCCAGUGGUGUUUCUGGAGAGGGAUUCCUUCAGAAAUGGAGAAGACAGAAAGCUGCGGAGGCAGAUAUUUGCAGCAGUCUAAAAUAUCAAGCUCAACAGCUAUUUGAAGAGCCAACCCUCACAAACCUUCCUAAAAACUAAAAGAACUAUUACUGAGUCUCAGCGAAUCUUGCCAUGAUCAGCUCUUCCCAGAAGAGAAGGAAGACCAAGGAAAUGAUUUGCUCAGGAUGAGGAAUGAAGAUGGCCAUCUUGUGCUCAAACAAACAGAAGUCCUCUGAUGAUCUCUUCAGCCAAACGAGGGGUUUUGACCAAGUGAUGCUCUUGAAAGGAGUGAAAGAAGAGGAUGUGGUAAAUUGUCUUCAGAGAAAAAGCUUCUCAAAAGGUCUUAAAACAGCUUGAAGAAUGGUCUGGGAUGUUAGGACUGAGAGAUCCUCUGGCUGAGAACAAGCUACACCACAUCAGUGCUGGACAUCAACCACAAACUGUUUCCAGACACGAGAGAAGAAGAUCACGAUGGGGAGAUGAAACCAGUUUAGAUGUGAUGAUGGGAAUCAUUAUUUUCUGGAACAGUAUCUCAUGUCUUAUAUGUAUCACAUGAUCUGUAUCACAGUUGACUGGAUGGGACUGUGUGACUUUUAAGGACAUUUCAUCACUCAUCUGUGUGAACUGAUUUAUAUAUGAGGUUAAUGUAUCUUUGAUGAUAAUUAUUUUCAUUGAAUCUUAUUUGUCUUGAUGCUACUUUAUCAACUUUAUAGUCUAUGCUUCAAUAAAAUGAAAAUGGUGAA